rnacentral:rRNA from 1 species
GUCGAGAAUCUUUCACAAUGGGGGCAACCCUGAUGGAGCGACGCCGCGUGGAGGAUAAGGUCUUCGGAUUGUAAACUCCUGUCAUGCGUGAACAAGGUUGCUUGGAUAAUACCUGAGCAAAUUGAUGGUAGCGCAAGAGGAAGAGACGGCUAACUCUGUGCCAGCAGCCGCGGUAAUACAGAGGUCUCAAGCGUUGUUCGGAAUCACUGGGCGUAAAGGGUGCGUAGGUGGCGUGGCAAGUCAGAUGUGAAAGCCCGGGGCUCAACCGCGGAACUGCAUCCGAUACUGCCAUGCUAGAGUACUGGAGGGGUGACUAGAAUUCUCGGUGUAGCAGUGAAAUGCGUAGAUAUCGAGAGGAAUACCAAAGGCGUAGGCAGGUCACUGGACAGUUACUGACACUGAGGCACGAAGGCCAGGGGAGCGAACGGGAUUAGAUACCCCGGUAGUCC